UUGAGAUUACAGAUAACAAAUGAUUCUAUUUAGGGCUAAAGAUAAAUACAGCAGUCCUCCGCACUCACAUUUUCUGAGGUUUCACUUACCCAUGGUCAACCAUAAUUGAAAAUAUUAAAUGAAAAGUUGCAUAAAUAAACAAUUCAUAACUUUUAAAUUGUGUGCUGUUCUGUGUAAUGCAAUGAAAUCUCACACUAUCCCAUUGUUAAGGCUUUUUCACUCCCGUAGUUCGGUGAGCAGGAGGAAGUAGCACCCAACGGCUUCUUCUCUACCGUUGUUUGGGGAGUUGGAGGGAGUGUUACAGCUCUUUUAACUCCCACCACCCGCUGCUCAGCAAGCAGGAGCACUACACCUCUUUUGCUCCCGCAAUUUCGGGGAGUUCCAGGUUCCUGUCCUGUAACCAGAAGGAAUAAGGCUCCCCUGUUUCUCAGGCCUCCAGACUGAAGCUGAAUUAUACCACCAGCUCUCCUCAGUCUCCAGUUUGCAGACAACAGAUCAUGGGACUUCUCAGCCUCCAUAAUCACAGGAGUCAAUUCCUCAUAAUAAAUCUGUCUGCCCCCUGCUGUGUGUGUGUGUGUGUGUGUGUGUGUGUGGUGUGUGUGUGCUCUGUGUGUGUGUGUGUGUUUCAGGUGCGUCUGAUCCCAAUACCUAUGCUUUUAACCACUAUAAAUGGAGAAACAUUACAACAGGAAACCAAGAGUUGAGAAAGAAUUGUAGUGAGGAGGUGGAUAAAUGGGGAUGUUUCCCUACCUUGAACUCAAACCAGUUAGAUAGUUGCUACUUGGGAAGCUAAUCCACUUAUAUUAAAUAUAUAUAAUAUAGAUGACUAUAACAGUUUUGUCAAAAGAGCAAAACUGGGUUAUAUACACCUUUGACAAAAAUUAGCAUGAGUGUAGUUACUUCCUGAAUACAUCUUUCUUUUCAUUUAGUUGCUUGGUAAGCAGAUACUGCCCCAGCUUAUGUGUUCUCCAAACCACAGAUACACAUAUCUGGAUUUCCAGGAGGUUUCAUGAAGUGCCUCUUAAUAGAUAUGAGAUGAGAAAAACACCCACCCCAAUACACACACACACACACACACACACACACAGCCCACUAGCACCUUGGGGAAGAGGAAGAACAUAAAGCCUACCAUGUAUGAAGAAAUCUAUCUCCCACUGCCUAGCCUCUCCAACUUUAAUCCCUUUAUUGCUUUUGGAUGGGUGAGGAUGUGUGAGGAAACAAGUGGACAACACUAGUUUGGGGCUAUUUCAUUUGUAAGUCAUGUCUCAGUAUUCUGUCUCACUUUCUCAUGUGUAGGAGUAAAUAGAAUCUGUCUUCUUGGGAAUUUGCCUAAACUCAAGAUUACAAGAGGUCUGUGUUAACAUUUCUUGAACCCAAAUGUGGCACAUAUAUACCAUGGAAUACUAUGCAGCCAUAAAAAAGGGUGAGUUCAUGUCCUUUGCAGGGACAUGGAUGAAGCUGGAAACCAUCAUUCUCAGCAAACUAACACAGGAACAGAAAACCAAACACCGCAUGUUCUCACUCAUAAGUGGGAGCUUAACAAAGAGAACACAUGGACACAGGGAGGGGAAUAUCACACAUCAGGGCCUGUCAGGCGGUGAGGGGUUAGGGGAAGGAUAGCAUUAGGUUAAAUACCUAAUACAGAUGACAGGUUGAUAGGUGCAGCAAACCACCAUGGCGUGUGUAUACCUAUGUAACAAACCUGCACAUUCUACACAUGUAUCCCAGAACUUAAAGUAUAUUUAAAACAAAACAAAACAAAACAAAAAAAUAACAUGAAAUUGGAUCUCACCAAAGAAAAAAAAAAGAAAUGCAAAGUCAAGGGCCCCAUUCAAGACCUACUGAAUCAAAAAUUAAAAGUGGAGCCCAUUAAUCUCUGUUUUAAGAAGCCCUCCAGGAGAUUCUGAAACAAGCUAAAGUUUGUCACUAUUUUACAGCAUAUAAUAGAUUUUUAAUUGCAUUAUUCAAAAUCCUUUACUCUUUCUCU
rnacentral:lncRNA from 1 species